AAUGAACGCUGGCAGCGUGCUUAACACAUGCAAGUCGGACGAGAAAGGCUAAUUUCGGUUGGCCGAGUAAAGUGGCGCACGGGUGAGUAACGCGUAGGCAACCUACCCUUGUAUUGGGGACAACACUUCGAAAGGGGUGCUAAUACCGGAUACGAUCUCGGGACGGGAGUUUCGGGAUGAAAGGCGGCCGCUCGGAGAAGCUGACGUACGAGGAUGGGCCUGCGUCCUAUCGGCUGGUUGGGGGGGUAGUGGCCUACCAAGGCGACGACGGGUGGCGGGGCUGAGAGGAUGAUCGGCCAAACUGGCAAUUGAACACGGGCCAGACUCCGACGGGAGGCGGCAGUGAGGAAGUUUGCGCAAUGGCCGGAAGGCUGACGCAGCAACGCCGCGUGGGCGAAGAAGGCCUUAGGGUCGUAAAGCCCUGUCAGGUGGGAAGAAAGGGUCCGGCAAGAGACGGUUGGAUUUUGACGGUACCACCAGAGGAAGCACCGGCUAACUCCGUGCCAGCCGCCGCCGUAAUAC
rnacentral:rRNA from 1 species